rnacentral:rRNA from 1 species
AGAAUCAACGCUGGCGGCGCGCUUAACACAUGCAAGUCGCACGAGAAAGCUGGAGCAAUCUGGUGAGUAAAGUGGCGCACGGGUGAGUAACACGUGGGUAAUCUACCUUCUUGUGGGGAAUAACCCUGGGAAACCGGGGCUAAUACCGCAUAAGCCCGAAAGGGGAAAGCAGCAAUGCGCAGGAAGAGGAGCCCGCGGCCGAUUAGCUAGUUGGUAGGGUAAAGCCUACCAAGGCAUUGAUCGGUA